AGUGAACGCUGGCGGUAGGCCUAACACAUGCAAGUCGAACGGCAGCACAGUAAGAGCUUGCUCUUACGGGUGGCGAGUGGCGGACGGGUGAGGAAUACAUCGGAAUCUACUUUUUCGUGGGGGAUAACGUAGGGAAACUUACGCUAAUACCGCAUACGAUCUACGGGUGAAAGCAGGGGAUCUUCGGACCUUGCGCGAUUGAAUGAGCCGAUGUCGGAUUAGCUAGUUGGCGGGGUAAAGGCCCACCAAGGCAACGAUCCGUAGCUGGUCUGAGAGGAUGAUCAGCCACACUGGAACUGAGACACGGUCCAGACUCCUACGGGAGGCAGCAGUGGGGAAUAUUGGACAAUGGGCGCAAGCCUGAUCCAGCCAUACCGCGUGGGUGAAGAAGGCCUUCGGGUUGUAAAGCCCUUUUGUUGGGAAAGAAAAGCAGCAGGUUAAUACCCCGCUGUUCCGACGGUACCCAAAGAAUAAGCACCGGCUAACUUCGUG
rnacentral:rRNA from 1 species